rnacentral:tRNA from 1 species
CAUUAAAAAGCUUAAAGUAAGUGUUGAUCUUUUAAAUCGAUAAUGAUAAAACCGACUAUCUUUAAUGA